CAUGUUCGGCUUCUUCGUGCAGGCCAUCGUCACCGGCAAGGGUCCCGUUGAGAACCUCGCCGACCACCUCGCUGACCCUGUCAACAACAACGCCUGGGCCUACGCUACCAACUUCGUCCCCGGCAAGUGAGCGAGGGCAUAUACAUACUUGUAUGCGUGUACCGUAGACAUACGUAUUCGUAUAUGUACUGCAGGAGAUGUACCAGUAUUUGUGAAGAAGGGAGCAUGGGCUCAGAGAUUGUACCAGUAGUGUACGUAUUUGCAUGCAUGCUUUGGUCCUUGUGGACAUUAUCAAUGAAAUAUGCUGUAAAUUAUACAUACGUCUUUAAUAAUGCAUACUGUACAUGAUUUGCUCUGGCAAUUAAGUCGGUGUUGUGAUGAAGUGCAACAGAGUUCAGUGAGCACGUCCUACAUCAAACACCAGGCAGCUGGACAGCAAU
rnacentral:lncRNA from 1 species